rnacentral:rRNA from 1 species
CGCGUAGGCGGUCUUGUCGGUCAGAUGUGAAAGCCCAGGGCUCAACUCUGGACGUGCAUUUGAAACAGCAAGACUUGAGUACGGGAGAGGAAAGCGGAAUUCCUGGUGUAGAGGUGAAAUUCGUAGAUAUCAGGAGGAACACCGAUGGCGAAGGCAGCUUUCUGGACCGAUACUGACGCUGAGGCGCGAAGGCGUGGGUAGCGAACAGGAUUAGAUACCCUGGUAGUCC